rnacentral:misc_RNA from 1 species
AAGACUAUAGACCUGCGGAGUACCUGCGGAAGGAUCAUUACCAAAAGAGUGAGAAAUCACUCUUCUUACCUGCUCGGUGGCCCUUCGGGUCGCUGACUGGUCAACCCUUUGUGAACCAAAAAACCUUUUCGCUUCGGCAGCUGGGCCUCACCGCCUGUCAGCCUGCCGCUAGCACCCAACCAAAAAACCUGUUGUCAAAACAUUUGUCUGAUAACCAAAAUUUUCGAAUGAAAAUCAAAA